rnacentral:sRNA from 1 species
AGUGGGCACCUGAUGCUGCUGUCCCUUGAGCUGGGGGCACAGCUAGGAGGCACUAGAGUCCAGCCCAGGGGCUUGAAAUUAUAAGCCGAGGCACUUCCCCAGAGGAACAGGAAGCGUCAGCCCCCGUAGCACCUCUGUUACCACAACUUCUAGUGCCUCUGUUACCACCACCUCUAAUGCCUCUGGUCGCCGCACUUCUGAUGUCCGUAGGCCUUAAAUCUGCCUGGCGUCCCCUCCCUCUGUCUUCAGCACCCAGAGGAAGAGAGAGCCGGCAGUUCCCUGCAGGAGAGAGGAGGGGCUGCUGGACCCAAGGCUCAGUCCCUCUGCUCUCAGGACCCCCCGUCCUGACUCUCUCCUGAUGAUGGGCCCUCUGUGCUCUUCUCUUUCUGUCGGAUCUCUCUCCUCUCUGACCUGGAUACUCUUUGGUUUCUCAACUUCUCUACCCCAAAGAAAAGAUUAUUCAAUAAAGUUUCCUGCCUUUCUGCAAACAU